rnacentral:lncRNA from 1 species
GAUAGUAAAGAACUGAAUUUAUCCCUUUAUUACUAUUGACUCACAGACGGAAAGAUAGGGAACCAUUCUUUAGUUUGCUGGUGCCACUUUGUGAAUUCUGACCAACAAAAUGACCCAACAUUUUUAGAGCAUAUCAAGCCAAAGGUUUUUUUGAUGGACAAUUAACCUUUACAUCUAAAUUAAAAGAGUAAAGUAUAUUUUGCUUCUUGAAAUGGCAUUCAAUAUCAACUUGAGAAAGAAACAGUUUGAUUUGUUGGUAAUGACCGAAGAUGAAAUCCAAGAACUUAUGGAUUCUGUUGAAACUGAUUGGAAAAAAGCAAAACAUCCCAUUGAUGACAUUCGCAGUGACAGUAUUGAUCACUUUCCACUUUAGCUCAGCAAAGAGGAUGGUAAAAAAAUGCAGCCAGGAGAAGGGCAUGGCUCUAACCCUCAACAAUGAGCAUUACAGAAAAUUAACAGUUCCCCAGGUAACCAUCCACUGAAAAUCUUAGA